UGCUGCAGUGCCUAGGUCAGUUA
rnacentral:misc_RNA from 1 species